AUUCCAGCUCCAAUAGCGUAUAUUAAAGUUGUUGCGGUUAAAAAGCUCGUAGUUGGAUUUCUGGUCGUGGUCGCCGGUCGUGCCCAAACGGGUUCUGUACCUGGCGCCCGCGUCCAUCCUCGGGGAGAGCGUGUCUGGCAUUAAGUUGUCGGGCUCGGGACCCCCGUCAUUUACUGUGAGCAGAAUAGAGUGUUCAAAGCAGGCUUAGGCCAUGAAUACAUUAGCAUGGAAUAAUAAGAUAAGACCUUGGUCUAUUUUGUUGGUUUGCAUUCCAAGGUAAUGAUUAAUAGGGAUAGUUGGGGGUAUUCGUAUUCAAUUGUCAGAGGUGAAAUUCUUGGAUUUAUGGAAGACGAACUACUGCGAAAGCAUUUACCAAGGAUGUUUUCAUCA
rnacentral:rRNA from 1 species